rnacentral:rRNA from 1 species
GAUGAACGCUGGCGGCGUGCCUAAUACAUGCAAGUCGAGCGAACGGACGAGAAGCUUGCUUCUCUGAUGUUAGCGGCGGACGGGUGAGUAACACGUGGAUAACCUACCUAUAAGACUGGGAUAACUUCGGGAAACCGGAGCUAAUACCGGAUAAUAUUUUGAACCGCAUUGUUCAAAAGUGAAAGACGGUCUUUCUGUCACUUAUAGAUGGAUCCGCGCUGCAUUAGCUAGUUGGUAAGGUAACGGCUUACCAAGGCAACGAUGCAUAGACGACCUGAGAGGGUGAUCGGCCACCCGGGAACUGAGACACGGUCCAGACGCCUACGGGACGCAGCAGUAUGGAAUCUUCCGCAAUGGGCGAAAGCCUUACGGAGCAACGCCGCGUGAGUGAUGAAGGUCUUCGGAUCGUAAAACUCUGUUAUUAGGGAAGAACAUAUGUGUAAGUAACUGUGCACAGCUUGACGGUACCGAAUCAGAAAGCCACGGCUAACUACGUG